AUAAAAAAAUCCCUACAGUACAUACUGUAGGGUCCUUCAAUACCUCACAAAUAGGCUGAAGGCAAAGGGAGAGGAGAAACCGGAGGAAGAACUUAUGGGGAAACGUAAGUCUUCUCCGCGG
rfam:Bacillus weihaiensis strain Alg07 chromosome, complete genome.